AUAACCUGGAGGAAGGUGGGGAUGACGUCAAAUCAUCAUGCCCCUUAUGCUUAGGGCUACACACGUGCUACAAUGGGUAGUACAGAGGGUUGCCAAGCCGUAAGGUGGAGCUAAUCCCUUAAAGCUAUUCUCAGUUCGGAUUGUAGGCUGAAACUCGCCUACAUGAAGCUGGAGUUACUAGUAAUCGCAGAUCAGAAUGCUGCGGUGAAUGCGUUCCCGGGUCUUGUACACACCGCCCGUCACACCACGGGAG
rnacentral:rRNA from 1 species